CAGGCUCUUCUCGGCAGCGGACAGCGGCGCGCCGUUCUUGCUGGCGUAGACGGCAAUGCCGCGUUCGAUGCGCGCGACCUUGCC
rnacentral:tRNA from 1 species